rnacentral:rRNA from 1 species
AACGAACGCUGGCGGCAGGCUUAACACAUGCAAGUCGAACGCAUCCUUCGGGGUGAGUGGCAGACGGGUGAGUAACGCGUGGGAACGUGCCCUUCAGUUCGGGAUAACCCAGGGAAACUUGGGCUAAUACCGGAUACGUGCGAGAGCAGAAAGAUUUAUCGCUGAAGGAUCGGCCCGGGUCUGAUUAGCGAGUUGGUGGGGUAAUGGCCCACCAAGGCGACGAUCAGUAGCUGGUCUGAGAGGAUGAUCAGCCACAUUGGGACUGAGUCACGGCCCAAACUCCGACGGGAGGCGGCGGUGGGGAAUAUUGGACAAUGGGGGCAAGCCUGAUACAGCCGUGCCGGGGGAGUGAUGAAGGCCUUAGGAUUGUAAAGCUCUUUCGUCCGGGACGAUAAUGACGGUACCGGAAGAAGAAGCCCCGGCUAACUUCGUGCCAGCCGCCGCCGUAAAAC